UAAUCUUAUAUACAAUAAUAAUUAAUAACAUAUUAGAUUUUUUUAUGUGUAUGAUGUGAUUCAAUUUUUAAUACAAGCAGGAAAAUUCUAGAAUUGACGGGUUUAGAUCGAUAUUAAUACAAGAUGGUAUACUACAGGUGAAACUCUAAAAUUAACAAUUAAAAUACAAGUGUAUAAUCUUAAACACUAAACAAUAUAAAUAAUAUCAACAAAACAUAUACAACUCGCAGUUUACUAUACAUUUAAAAUCAAAUAAAAUAAUAUUAUCUAUUUAUAAUUCAUCUUUACAAUAAAA
rnacentral:sRNA from 1 species